rnacentral:rRNA from 1 species
GCUCGUGUCGUGAGAUGUUGGGUUAAGUCCCGCAACGAGCGCAACCCUUGAUCUUAGUUGCCAGCAUUCAGUUGGGCACUCUAAGGUGACUGCCGGUGACAAACCGGAGGAAGGUGGGGAUGACGUCAAAUCAUCAUGCCCCUUAUGACCUGGGCUACACACGUGCUACAAUGGGCRGAACAAAGGGCAGCGAAGCCGCGAGGCUAAGCCAAUCCCACAAAUCUGUUCUCAGUUCGGAUCGCAGUCUGCAACUCGCCUGCGUGAAGCUGGAAUCGCUAGUAAUCGCGGAUCAGCAUGCCGCGGUGAAUACGUUCCCGGG